rnacentral:tRNA from 1 species
GCCGCUCUAGCCCAACGGCAGGAGGCACCGUGCUCAGGACACGGGACGUCGGGGUUCGAAUCCCCGGGGCGGCACCA